GUUAGAUUUUGCAAGAAAGGGAAGUUGACUCCUCGUUAUGUGGGUCCCUCUUAAAUCUUGCAAAGGGUUGGUAAGGUGGCCUAUGAAUUGAAACUUCCUAGUGAAUUGACUUCGUUUCAUCCAGUUUUCCAUAUUUCGAUGUUAUAGAAGUGUAUCAGUGAUCCCGAUUCCAUUCUUCCUAUUCAGGGUCUUGUUGUCAAGGAUAACCUCUCUUAUGAGGAAGUUCCAGUUCAAAUUCUUGAUAGGAAAGUCAAGAAGUUAAGGAAAAAAGAAGUCGUUUCAGUAAAGGUGUUUUGGAAGAAUCACCUAGUUGAGGGAGCAACAUGGGAGGUUGAGGCCGACAUGAAGUCCCGUUACUCUUGCUUUCUGAUAAUUAAGGUUAGUCAUUCUUUUUAAUAAUAUAAAUAUGACCAGAAAUUGGAGUUUCAUGAUUUUUGGUGAAGUGUUGCAAAAAUGUGCAUUUUGGGAGUUGCAUUACAAUAAGGUUGCACUGAAUAUGGUGCCUAAACCUUGUAUGGGGAGUCUUUAUGAAAUUAUAUGUAGAAUGUGGUUAAGUUGAACUUUGUGCUAAUUGACUCAUGUAAUGUAUGUUGAGCUCAUGUGUGUUGUGAGAAGGAAAUACCUCAUGCUGAAGUGUUUUGAGAUUCAUGUGUGAUAAUUGAAGUUUUGAAAUUUGCCUUGUUGGAAGGUGAUGAUUUAUGUUGAUCUGAUAUUGUUGAUUGGUUGGUCUGCUAGUCUUGAGUGUAUUUCCUUCUUUCAAAAGAAAUUUUAGUGUCAUUUGGGGACGAAUGUUCCUGGGGGGGGGGAUAAUGUAACACUUUUAAAAUCCAAGACGAGUCUUAGAGCCUAACAUAGGUUCCAUGGGGUCUAAGAACUGUUUUAAGACCUCUUUUAAUAAAUAUAGGUCAUUUAGGAAGUUUAAGAACCAAAACUUCCAAGAACGUUCAUGACGUCCGAAAGUUGGUUCAAAGUGGUACUAGUGUGCCUUAGCCAAUUUAAGUUUAGGAGUCAGAAAUUUAUGAAAAAUGGUGAAAGGGUAGCUAAUAGGUGUUUAAUUUAUUUCAUUGUCGAAACGUCGUGGUAUGACUCCCCACGGACCAACCAAGUUCCCUUGAGGAGGAACCCUGCAGGUUUAAGCAACACUGCCUAAGUAGUGUGCAUCGACAGAAUUGGCUACGGGCCGUGUGUGGACUGACGGGGCGUCGAUUCUACUGUAAUCCCACACUUACACAAUUUGAGAAAUCCCUCGCCUGGACAAGUCUCUGAACUUACCUAUGGAUGUGCAGGACAGAGGGGGGCCAGUCCGUCGAUUCACAGACGGCCCGUUGAUGGGGUUCCGUUUAUGAGGGUCUUGAUUUUCCUACAUGUUUUAAUGUUAAGUUAUUUAAUUAAUUAAGUGGUUUAAUGUUUAGUUAUGGAUUAAGGUAAAACUAAUUAACUAAUUUAACUCCUAUAUAAAGGCCCAACCCCAAUUUAUCUAAUUACAACUCACAAAAUAAACUCUCUUCCUUCUCUCUUUUUUCUCUCUCUAUUGGAAACCACCAUUGGAAACAAGCUAGGAGGAGAUUUCGGGGGCUGGAAAGGGACUAAUUCACCAUCAAAUCUUCAUCAAACGUUAAGGUUCCGACCAUUGAAGAGCUUUUAAGCCCUUUGCAAGGAAGACUUAGACAUUUUUCCAAGUUGUUGGUGAGUCCUCAAGUCCGAGGAUGGUGCCAUGUUUCUAGCUUGAUUAGUAUUGUAUAUGUCUAAGACAAUUGUUUCUUUACUUAUAUUUUGGAGACUUUGUUCUAAGCCUAUAUGUGGAAUAAUUGUACUAGUGUAAGGGCUAUGCCCAAAUUCUUAUGCUUCUAUAACAGAUGGUUAAAUGUGAGACAAUAUUAGACUAAUUAAAUGAA